GGAGCCGACAUCGGUUUCAUUUGAGGAAUACAUGUUUAUGGGAUGCCGUUCAUCUACUGACUCUGUUUCGACGCAUUCAAUGAGUCAGACAGUGAAUGGCCCUCCAAAUGCUGUUGCUCCCGAUAUCGAUGAAAGUCAAACGGUCCACCGUUUGGCUAAUCAGGGGCCUCCUGCAAGUGUCCCUACAGAAUGGAUGCAUCCCAGAUUUUC